rfam:Aedes aegypti strain Liverpool supercont1.829 genomic scaffold, whole genome shotgun sequence.
UGCCCAGCAACUCCUAUCCCUAUCUCCUCGCAGUACUGGCCGGGGUACGAGUAACCCUAGGGAAGAUCGGGUAACCAACCCCCGGUGGGAACUUUGGUCGUAUGCUGACAGGGAAGG